AGCAGUGGGGAAUAUUGGACAAUGGGCGAAAGCCUGAUCCAGCCAUGCCGCGUGUGUGAAGAAGGUCUUCGGAUUGUAAAGCACUUUAAGUUGGGAGGAAGGGCAGUAAAUUAAUACUUUGCUGUUUUGACGUUACCGACAGAAUAAGCACCGGCUAACUCUGUGCCAGCAGCCGCGGUAAUACAGAGGGUGCAAGCGUUAAUCGGAAUUACUGGGCGUAAAGCGCGCGUAGGUGGUUCGUUAAGUUGGAUGUGAAAUCCCCGGGCUCAACCUGGGAACUGCAUUCAAAACUGACGAGCUAGAGUAUGGUAGAGGGUGGUGGAAUUUCCUGUGUAGCGGUGAAAUGCGUAGAUAUAGGAAGGAACACCUAGUGGCGAAAGCGACCACCUGGACUGAUACUGACACUGAGG
rnacentral:rRNA from 1 species